AGUGAACGCUGGCGGUAGGCCUAACACGUGCAAGUCGAACGGCAGCACAGGAGAGCUUGCUCUCUGGGUGGCGAGUGGCGGACGGGUGAGGAAUACAUCGGAAUCUACUCUGUCGUGGGGGAUAACGUAGGGAAACUUACGCUAAUACCGCAUACGACCUACGGGUGAAAGCAGGGGAUCUUCGGACCUUGCGCGAUUGAAUGAGCCGAUGUCGGCAUAGCUAGUUGGCGGGGUAAAGGCCCACCAAGGCGACGAUCCGUAGCUGGUCUGAGAGGAUGAUCAGCCACACUGGAACUGAGACACGGUCCAGACUCCUACGGGAGGCAGCAGUGGGGAAUAUUGGACAAUGGGCGCAAGCCUGAUCCAGCCAUACCGCGUGGGUGAAGAAGGCCUUCGGGUUGUAAAGCCCUUUUGUUGGAAAGAAAUCCAGCUGGCUAAUACCCGGUUGGGAUGACGGUACCCAAAGAAUAAGCACCGGCUAACUUCGUGCCAGCAGCCGCAGUAA
rnacentral:rRNA from 1 species